AGCCGCAUAGCUCAGUCGGUUAGAGCAUCAGGCUAAUAACGCGAAGGUCGACAGUUCGAGACUGUCUGUGGUCA